rnacentral:rRNA from 1 species
GAUGAACGCUGGCGGCGUGCCUAAUACAUGCGAGUCGAGCGAACGGACGAGAAGCUUGCUUUUCUGAUGUUAGCGGCGGACGGGUGAGUAACACGUGGAUAACCUACCUAUAAGACUGGGAUAACUUCGGGAAACCGGAGCUAAUACCGGAUAAUAUUUUGAACCGCAUGGUUCAAAAGUGAAAGACGGCCUUGCUGUCACUUAUAGAUGGAUCCGCGCUGCAUUAGCUAGUUGGUAAGGUAACGGCUUACCAAGGCAACGAUGCAUAGCCGACCUGAGAGGGUGAUCGGCCACACUGGAACUGAGACACGGUCCAGACUCCUACGGGAGGCAGCAGUAGGGAAUCUUCCGCAAUGGGCGAAAGCCUGACGGAGCAACGCCGCGUGAGUGAUGAAGGUCUUCGGAUCGUAAAACUCUGUUAUUAGGGAAGAACAUAUGUGUAAGUAACUGUGCACAUCUUGACGGUACCUAAUCAGAAAGCCACGGCUAACUACGUG